rnacentral:rRNA from 1 species
GACGAACGCUGGCGGCGUGCUUAACACAUGCAAGUCGAACGGAAAGGCCCUGCUUUUGUGGGGUGCUCGAGUGGCGAACGGGUGAGUAACACGUGAGUAACCUGCCCUUGACUUUGGGAUAACUUCAGGAAACUGGGGCUAAUACCGGAUAGGAGCUCCUGCUGCUUGGUGGGGGUUGGAAAGUUUCGGCGGUUGGGGAUGGACUCGCGGCUUAUCAGCUUGUUGGUGGGGUAGUGGCUUACCAAGGCUUUGACGGGUAGCCGGCCUGAGAGGGUGACCGGACACAUUGGGACUGAGAUACGGCACAGACUCCUACGGGAGGCAGCAGUGGGGAAUAUUGCACAAUGGGCGGAAGCCUGAUGCAGCAACGCAGCGUGCGGGAUGACGGCAUUCGGGUUGUAAACCGCUUUCGCCUGUGACGAAGCGUGAGUGACGGUAAUGGGUAAAGAAGCACCGGCUAACUACGUG